rnacentral:rRNA from 1 species
CCGGCACGGGUGGAGUAACACGUAUCCAACCUGCCGUCUACUCUUGGACAGCCUUCUGAAAGGAAAGAUUAAUACAAGAUGGCAUCAUGAGUCCGCAUGUUCACAUGAUUAAAGGUAUUCCGGUAGACGAUGGGGAUGCGUUCCAUUAGAUAGUAGGCGGGGUAACGGCCCACCUAGUCUUCGAUGGAUAGGGGUUCUGAGAGGAAGGUCCCCCACAUUGGAACUGAGACACGGUCCAA